ACGACCUUACUUGAACAGGAUCUGUUCUAUAGGCUCGUACAUCUGUUUCCUUGAUUUCUCAAGAGACAGACCCUUUACCCUGGUUGAUGAACUAUGACUGUGCGACUAGAGCGUGAUUGACGGCUACGAUCGUCUUAGGACGCAUCCGGUGCUGUAGAGGAUCGUUACUCGGCUCGGUUCUACCCGACCGGGGUGGUCGCACGGCGGUCUGACAGGUU
rnacentral:snoRNA from 1 species